rnacentral:lncRNA from 1 species
GAAUAGGAAUUUAAGAGUCACCUCUGGGCCUGAUCCUUUGCAGACUGUGUGAAGUGGUUGAUAAUGAAUAUUAUCAGAGGCAGAGAAGAGACGGGUACAGGGCAUAGAGUGAGCACCCACGGAAGGCAGACUCAGCCAGGACAGCCAAGGCGAGGGGCUCAGUCUGCUGAAUGUGAGGAAGGGUGAAGGCAUGGCACAAGUGCAGACACAGGCAGAGGCAGAGCAGAGAGCAGUGUGAGGAGCUGGAACACUCACCCUACCUAGCCUCUUCAGAAUUCGGUGUUUUUAAUCAGCAGAAUAGACUGGAGACAUGAUUCCUAGGUUCAAGUCCCAUCUCUGCCACUUCUCAGAGGUAUGAUCUUGGCAAAGUUACAACAACUGCUCCAUGCAACUCUUUCUGUAUCCGAGUUAUUAGAUACCUUAUUACAAUCACCAUAUUGUAAUACCUCUCUCAGAGGAUUACUGUUUGUGCUAAGAGUCUCACUCUACAGCUCAGACCUGCCUCAAAUUUGCAACAAUCCUUCUGCUUCUGUCUCCCAAGUGCUGGAAUUCCAGGACUCACACCAAGUCUGAAUCUCUCAGGGAUCUCGAAGAGGAUUAAGCUAAUACUUGGUAUCUUGUGAGUUCACCCGUGGCUUCCACUUCAAGUGUUAAAUGUCUGCACUGAUUUCUGUAUGUGUGCCAUACCACCGAGCUACACAUUUAGGCCUUACUCAUUUUGAAAUAGAGUUUCACUCAGUUGCUCAGGCUGGCCUCCAGCUUUUGAUCCUCGUGUCUUAAUCCCUCUAAACAGUUGGGAUCAAGGCAAGCACUGAGGAAAAGGGUCUGCUGUAAGAUACAACACAGAAGAGGACUAGUGUGAUGUAACUGGUGUGAAUCUGUGAACUGGAGGGCAGGGCCCUGUCUCAUCGAUGCCCCAUGCCAGGCAGAGUUUGCUGGCCUGCUCUGAUUGUACUUUUACUGUGGGCAGUGUUUUUAUGACUCUCCAUGACUCAUAAGAGACAAAGUUCCUCGUUUUCUUCUGAGAAAUGUUCUGGUGCCUCUCCCUCUGGGGUAGACAGCGAGGGUUAAUGAACCUGGGGAUGUGCUCUCCUGAGGUAGACGACUUGGGCUUUCUUGCUGUGGACCACUUGAGUAGGGCAAGAGCUCAGCCACAGGUGAUAAAAACAGGCCACGACUGCUCUGGCAGGAUGUGCAGAGUCUGGCUGGGUUGGAGUUUUGGUAACUAUUAGGUGAAGGCAAGAUGUCUCCUACCUGCCUGCAACGCUGUGAGCUGUGGUCUGGUCUGAGGCAGGCAGUGGGGUGGCAACAGAGGUGGAGGGAUUUGGGUGUGGUCUGGGCCACCAUGACUGGGAUGUGGCUCUUACAGUCUUUAGCGGGCAUUUUUGAGAUGUGUGGAGAGGUGAGUCUGUUUUCUCCAAAUUCUCUCUUCCCCUUAAUUUUGGCCACAAAGUGAUAAGGAAUUCUAGCACUGUGGUCAGAGAGCCCUGGGAUCAAACGCCUCUGCUUUUCUCAGCUGUGAAUCCUGGGAGCCAUAAUAAUUCUUUUGAACCUCAGCUUCCUUGUCUCAUCCCCUCAGACCUUAUGGCUCAACUCCAGAGGAAGUCUGACUUGUGGCUAUAAACAGCUCGUGGAAACUCUUAAACACUGUAGUUUGCUUUACCAAAAGACUUGAGAAAACACACCUCCAGUGAGUAAGAGUCAGUUUAAUUUUUGGAUCAACACUCU